rnacentral:miRNA from 1 species
GAGCUUUCUUCGGUCCAAUA